AAGCAAAAGCAGAUAAAGUAGAAGAGAUUGAGUAUGACAGAAGAACAACUCCAUACUGUUGACUACUCAACAGCAGGUUUGAUGAGAGCAGCUCCUCUUCCACAAAGAAGUUAACUAAUGUCCAGCAUGCUUUUAUGUUAACACGUGAACUAAUGCAAGGCCCUGAAUCGCAGUCAAGGUGCAACUGUACCAGCUGCUGCUAUCCUCAGCAGUUUGUGAAGUUGAUAUGCCUCCUACAGAAGACUGAGGAGAAUCACGAAUUUAUGCCUAAAGGCAAGUGGCGAGUCACUUAUACUUUGGAGUAUGUAAGAACAUAUGUGGGUGUAAAUUACAUAUUUUACCGUCUUUGGAGGUGUAUGAAUUGAUUGUGGCCCUGUAAAUUGGGUUUUCUCUUUUGCUUUGGGCCAACUGAUAUGCCUAUAGCAAAUGCCUUACCUCUUUUAGGAAGUCUAAUGGAAUUGUAACAGGCUGCUGUUUGAAUGGAGGGAUGCUUUAAUGGAGUGAGGGGAAAAGCAAAAAUUGCAAUGCCAUUCCCUUGCCUACCAUGUAUAUAUAUACACACAGAUACAGA